rnacentral:rRNA from 1 species
AAUAGAUACCCGGGUAGUCCACGCCGUAAACGAUGAGUGCUAAGUGUUAGAGGGUUUCCGCCCUUUAGUGCUGAAGUUAACGCAUUAAGCACUCCGCCUGGGGAGUACGGCCGCAAGGCUGAAACUCAAAGGAAUUGACGGGGGCCCGCACAAGCGGUGGAGCAUGUGGUUUAAUUCGAAGCAACGCGAAGAACCUUACCAGGUCUUGACAUCCUCUGACAACCCUAGAGAUAGGGCUUCUCCUUCGGGAGCAAAGUGACAGGUGGUGCAUGGUUGUCGUCAGCUCGUGUCGUGAGAUGUUGGGUUAAGUCCCGCAACGAGCGCAACCCUUGAUCUUAGUUGCCAUCAUUAAGUUGGGCACUCUAGGGUGACUGCCGGUGACAAACCGGAGGAAGGUGGGGAUGACGUCAAAUCAUCAUGCCCCUUAUGACCUGGGCUACACACGUGCUACAAUGGACGGUACAAAGAGCUGCAAGACCGCGAGGUGGAGCUAAUCUCAUAAAACCGUUCUCAGUUCGGAUUGUAGGCUGC